CACAAUCACAUUUGUAAGUCGCUCUGGAUAAGAGCGUCUGCUAAAUGACUUAUG
rfam:Salmo salar isolate Sally breed double haploid chromosome ssa24, whole genome shotgun sequence.